GGCUGGUUAGCUCAGUGGUUUGAGCACGGUGCUGACAACAAUGACUGACAUCGAGGUCGCGGGUUCGAGUCCCGCUCAGUCC
rnacentral:tRNA from 1 species